AUGAACGCUAGCUACAGGCUUAACACAUGCAAGUCGAGGGGCAGCAUUUUAGUUUGCUUGCAAACUAAAGAUGGCGACCGGCGCACGGGUGAGUAACACGUAUCCAACCUGCCGAUAACUCGGGGAUAGCCUUUCGAAAGAAAGAUUAAUAUCCGAUAGUAUAUUAAAACCGCAUGGUUUUACUAUUAAAGAAUUUCGGUUAUCGAUGGGGAUGCGUUCCAUUAGUUUGUUGGCGGGGUAACGGCCCACCAAGACUACGAUGGAUAGGGGUUCUGAGAGGAAGGUCCCCCACAUUGGAACUGAGACACGGUCCAAACUCCUACGGGAGGCAGCAGUGAGGAAUAUUGGUCAAUGGACGAGAGUCUGAACCAGCCAAGUAGCGUGAAGGAUGACUGCCCUAUGGGUUGUAAACUUCUUUUAUAUGGGAAUAAAGUAUUCCACGUGUGGGAUUUUGUAUGUACCAUAUGAAUAAGGAUCGGCUAACUCCGUGCCAGCAGCCGCGGUAAUACGGAGGAUCCGAGCGUUAUCCGGAUUUAUUGGGUUUAAAGGGAGCGUAGGUGGAUUGUUAAGUCAGUUGUGAAAGUUUGCGGCUCAACCGUAAAAUUGCAGUUGAAACUGGCAGUCUUGAGUACAGUAGAGGUGGGCGGAAUUCGUGGUGUAGCGGUGAAAUGCUUAGAUAUCACGAAGAACUCCGAUUGCGAAGGCAGCUCACUAGACUGCAACUGACACUGAUGCUCGAAAGUGUGGGUAUCAAACAGGAUUAGAUACCCUGGUAGUCCACACAGUAAACGAUGAAUACUCGCUGUUUGCGAUAUACAGUAAGCGGCCAAGCGAAAGCAUUAAGUAUUCCACCUGGGGAGUACGCCGGCAACGGUGAAACUCAAAGGAAUUGACGGGGGCCCGCACAAGCGGAGGAACAUGUGGUUUAAUUCGAUGAUACGCGAGGAACCUUACCCGGGCUUAAAUUGCAUUUGAAUAAUCUGGAAACAGGUUAGCCGCAAGGCAAAUGUGAAGGUGCUGCAUGGUUGUCGUCAGCUCGUGCCGUGAGGUGUCGGCUUAAGUGCCAUAACGAGCGCAACCCUUAUCUUUAGUUACUAACAGGUGAUGCUGAGGACUCUAGAGAGACUGCCGUCGUAAGAUGUGAGGAAGGUGGGGAUGACGUCAAAUCAGCACGGCCCUUACGUCCGGGGCUACACACGUGUUACAAUGGGGGGUACAGAAGGCAGCUACCUGGUGACAGGAUGCUAAUCCCAAAAACCUCUCUCAGUUCGGAUCGAAGUCUGCAACCCGACUUCGUGAAGCUGGAUUCGCUAGUAAUCGCGCAUCAGCCAUGGCGCGGUGAAUACGUUCCCGGGCCUUGUACACACCGCCCGUCAAGCCAUGAAAGCCGGGGGUACCUGAAGUACGUAACCGCAAGGAGCGUCCUAGGGUAAAACUGGUAAUUGGGGCU
rnacentral:rRNA from 1 species